rnacentral:tRNA from 1 species
AGAAAUUUAAGUUAAAAAAACUAGUAACCUUCAAAGUUGUAAAUGACCCAAAGUCAAUUUCUA